rnacentral:rRNA from 1 species
UACGAAGGGGGCUAGCGUUGCUCGGAAUCACUGGGCGUAAAGCGCACGUAGGCGGCUUUUUAAGUCAGAGGUGAAAUCCUGGAGCUCAACUCCAGAACUGCCUUUGAUACUGGAGAGCUUGAGUCCGGGAGAGGUGAGUGGAACUGCGAGUGUAGAGGUGAAAUUCGUAGAUAUUCGCAAGAACACCAGUGGCGAAGGCGGCUCACUGGCCCGAUACUGACGCUGAGGCACGAAAGCGUGGGGAGCAAACAGGG